rnacentral:lncRNA from 1 species
UAGAUGAGAAUGUUUCAUGAUGCACUUGUGUUGGGCAUUUUGGUCCUCGGUUUCAUUUAUGCUUUAUUCUUGGGCUUCCUAUUGUUCCAAGUUUCAAGUGUGAGCCUAGCAGAUAUCGUCGAUUUGGACCUUUGAACCUUUGUUUAUCUGGCAGCUGCUGCCUUCAGCGUAAAUCAUCAAGAGCUGAUAAUAUAUUUCUCUUUGCAAUAUCACAAUUUUGAUGUUUUGCUCUGUUGCUGUUGCCUGUUCCAUUUGACAUCAUUGUGUUUGUGCCUAUUACUCCCUCCGUCCCAAAAUUGUCUUAGAUUAGUCUAGAUACCGAUGUAUCUAAUACUAAAACGUGACUUGUACAUUCGUAUUUAGACAAAUCUAAGACGAAUUUUGGGACAGAGGGAGUACUUAUAUUUGGUCAUGGUGGUGAUGGUAUAAUUUAGCAAAAGAAAUAGCGCUUCAAAUUGUUUGAGCCGAUCCCACAGAUUCAGUGUCCAUUUAAGAUGCUUGCUCAUUUAGAUGCCUGUGAAGUUCUGAGUUUGAAGGAGCUCUGUAGGAAAAACAAAAAAUGGGCUCCAAAUUGUUUGAAAUUCUGACAAAAUUUUGUUUGUUAACCUUUAUUGAAUUCUUUUUAGCUGCUAUUUUCUUGAUUUUCACGAGAAGGAGCAUAUGUGCUAUGAAUUUGUACACGAGAAUCCUUAUAUCUGCUGUAAAUUUGUACAAACUAUAAAGUGCUUGCAUAAUAAAAUGUUGUAAAAACACAAAAGCAAGAACUAUGGAUAAAUUUGUACAAAC